rnacentral:tRNA from 1 species
AAAAAUUUAGUUAAACCCCAUAACAUUAGCCUGUCAAGCUAAAAUCACCUUUUAUAAGGUAAUUUUUG